UGUUGUAUUUCUAAUUUUGCUUGUUGCUUAAUUGUAUCUAUUUCUCUUUUUCUGUGAAUUUCUUCAUUUUCUUUAUUUAUUCUUACCAUAGCAGUUAAACUAUCUUCUAAUUUUACUGUUUCUUUUUCUAUCAUUAGAUAUAAGUUUUCGCCUAUCUUCUUGUAUCGUCUUCCUAAAUUUGAAAAUAUUAUCUUUAUUUUUAAUCCUUCUGGAUUUUCGUAAGUUUUUUCUUCUAUAGCAAAUUCUUCCUUAUUCAUCUUAAAUUAUUUUUUAAUUUAUACUCUAUCGCUUGUAUCUCUAAUUGUAUAUUAAAUAUUACUUUUCUUUGAGCUAGCAAAGAUUUUUGACAUACUCCUGCAUAUAUAUUGUAUUGAAGCCUUUCUUGUUUG
rnacentral:lncRNA from 1 species